rnacentral:rRNA from 1 species
UACGGAGGGGACUAGCGUUGUUCGGAAUUACUGGGCGUAAAGCGCACGUAGGCGGAUUUGUAAGUCAGGGGUGAAAUCCCGGGGCUCAACCUCGGAACUGCCUUUGAUACUGCAAAUCUCGAGUCCGGAAGAGGUGAGUGGAACUGCGAGUGUAGAGGUGAAAUUCGUAGAUAUUCGCAAGAACACCAGUGGCGAAGGCGGCUCACUGGUCCGGUACUGACGCUGAGGUGCGAAAGCGUGGGGAGCAAACAGG